GCCUGGCACGGUGGCACGUGCCUGUAAUCCCAGCUACUAGAGAGGCUGAGGCUGGAGGAUCACUUGAGCCCAGGAGUUCUGGGCUGUAGUGCACUAUGCCGAUCGGGUGUCUGUACUAAGUUCGGCAUCAAUAUGGUGACCUCCUGGGAGCAGGGGACCACCAGGUUGCCUAAGGAGGGGUGAACUGGCCUAGGUCGGAAACGGAGCAGGUCACAACUCCUGUGCUGAUCAGUAGUGGGAUCACGCCUGUGAAUAGCCAGUGCACUCCAGCCUGGGCAACAUAGCAAGACCCCGUCUCU
rnacentral:SRP_RNA from 1 species